GGGUUCGAUUCCGGAGAGGGAGCCUGAGAAACGGCUGCCACAUCCAAGGAAGGCAGCAGGCGCGCAAAUUACCCAAUCCCAAUACGGGGAGGUAGUGACAAUAAAUAACAAUAUGGGGCUCUUACGGGUCUCGUAAUUGGAAUGAGUACAAUUUAAAUCUCUUAACGAGGAACAAUUGGAGGGCAAGUCUGGUGCCAGCAGCCGCGGUAAUUCCAGCUCCAAUAGCGUAUAUUAAAGUUGUUGCAGUUAAAAAGCUCGUAGUUGAAUUUCGGAGUUUGUCGGUUGGUCGGGCUUCACUGUCCGCACUGGCCUGAUGGAUUCCUACCUUCUGAAUAACCAGCAUGCUAUUAAGUUAGUGCGUUGGGGAAGCAGAGCUAUUACCUUGAAAAAAUUAGAGUGCUUAAAGCAGGCUUUUGCUUGAAUAGAUUAGCAUGGAAUAAUAAAAUAGGACGGCAUGGUUCUAUUUUGUUGGUUUCUAGGAUCACCGUAAUGAUUAAUAGGGAUAGUUGGGGGCAUUAGUAUUCAAUUGUCAGAGGUGAAAUUCUUGGAUUUAUUGAAGACUAACUUCUGCGAAAGCAUUUGCCAAGGAUGUUUUCAUUAAUCAAGAACGAAAGUUAGGGGAUCGAAGACGAUCAGAUACCGUCGUAGUCUUAACCAUAAACUAUGCCGACUAGGGAUCGGACGAUGUUAAUUUUUUAAUGACUCG
rnacentral:rRNA from 1 species